UAGCCAUUCAAAUCUCACAAUAUCAUGGCC
rnacentral:piRNA from 1 species